CCUACGGGGGGCAGCAGGCGCGAAAACUUUGCAAUGCGGGAAACCGUGACAGGGGAACUCCGAGUGCCCGUAAAAUCGGGCUGUCCACCAGUUUAAAUAACUGGUGAAGAAAGGGCCGGGCAAGACCGGUGCCAGCCGCCGCGGUAAUACCGGCGGCUCGAGUGGUGGCCACUAUUACUGGGCUUAAAGCGUUCGUAGCUGGUUUGUUAAGUCUCUGGGGAAAUCUUCCGGCUUAACCGGAAGGCGUCUCAGGGAUACUGGCAGACUAGGGACCGGGAGAGGUGAGGGGUACUCCAGGGGUAGGAGUGAAAUCCUGUAAUCCUUGGGGGACCACCUGUGGCGAAGGCGCCUCACCAGAACGGCUCCGACAGUGAGGGACGAAAGCUGGGGGAGCAAACCGGAUUAGAUACCCGCGUAGUCC
rnacentral:rRNA from 1 species